rnacentral:rRNA from 1 species
AGAGGGGGCAAGCGUUGUUCGGAAUUACUGGGCGUAAAGGGCGCGUAGGCGGCCUGUUAAGUCGAACGUGAAAUCCCCGGGCUCAACCCGGGAACUGCGUCCGAUACUGGCAGGCUUGAAUCCGGGAGAGGGAUGCGGAAUUCCAGGUGUAGCGGUGAAAUGCGUAGAUAUCUGGAGGAACACCGGUGGCGAAGGCGGCAUCCUGGACCGGCAUUGACGCUGAGGCGCGAAAGCCAGGGGAGCAAACGGGAUUAGAUACCCCGGUAGUCCUGGCCCUAAACGAUGAAUGCUUGGUGUGGCGGGUAUCGAUCCCUGCCGUGCCGAAGCUAACGCAUUAAGCAUUCCGCCUGGGGAGUACGGUCGCAAGGCUGAA